rnacentral:misc_RNA from 1 species
UUUCCGUAGGUGAACCUGCGGAAGGAUCAUUACUGAAUUAGAUAUGUUAGCGGCCCUCUUCGCAACCCCUAGCAUCCAAUCCUAUCCAUAACACCUGUGCCCGGUAAGGCGGUCUUGCAACCGCCAGUGGUUACAACCCCUGCCCAUCUUAUCCAAACAUUAACGUACCAACCAUAGUCUUAUUAUACUCUGUUAAAACUUUCCACAACGAAUCUCUUGGCUCUCGCAUCAAUAACGAACGCAGCAGAUCUGAAACGCACACGUCUCAACUCAACUCAC